CAAUAGAUAUAUUAAGAAGGAGAAUUAGUCAUGCACAGGCACUUGCUCUAGUACGAGAGAGGCCAUACAAUAUAACAAUUGGAAGAUAUCAAAGACAGAUACAGGAGCUCAUUAAUGACUGUAAUAGGAUUGACAGGGACAUCGAUGAAUUAACACGUGCUUCUUGUAUUUUAGCUAGAUGGAACCGUGCUGGUAUUCAUGGAGUUGGAACAAGACCUACAGCAACAAGCAGCACCAAUGAUUUCGUUCCUGAUGAAGAAAUUAAUUUUCC